AACGUAGGACACAAGCGUUAUCCGGAGUUACUGGGCGUAAAGGGCGUGUAGGCGGAUCGGUAAGUCUACUCUGAAAGCUCCUGGCUAAACUGGGAGAGGCGAGUGGAGACUGUCGGUCUAGAGUGAGGAAGAGGAAAGUGGAAUUCCGCGUGUAGUGGUGAAAUGCGUAGAGAUGCGGAGGAACACCAGUGGCGAAAGCGGACUUUCUGGUCC
rnacentral:rRNA from 1 species